GCCAUGACACGUUAAAACACCAGUUCUCAUCUGACCACCAAAGUUAAGCAACAUUGAGCCUGGUCAGUACUAAGAUGGGUGACCGCUGGGAAUACCAGGUACUGUAAG